GUCCUUCGCUCAGCCCUCAGAAGGAGUCAAUGCUGCCGACAUCUUGACGCCAGACUUCUAGCCUCCAGAACUGUGAGACAAUACAUUUCUGUUCUUUAAGCUCCUGGUCUGUGGUACUCUGUUAUGGCAGCCUGAGCAAACUGAUACAGGCCGAGACUUUGUUCUGUUCAUCGCUGUAUCCCCAGUCUAGAAUAGGGCCAGCGUUUAGCAGGCAACACAAUUCAUGUUUCUUGAAGGAAUGAACCUUGGUUGUGAUGUGCAGCGAGGAGGACCAGAUCCUGGGUGACCCUGCAGGUUGAAGAGCAGAGCUGCAGGAGCAGAGCAGAGUGUGCAAAGCUCAUGGGACUUGGGGGCAACUCAGAUCCCCCCUUGGGGGAGUGGGGAAGAUAGCUGUCCUCAUCCGAUCACUGUCUGUGUACAGAGUCCUAAAACACGUGUACAGGAGCCACACAAGACUUGCCGUCGAGAGUGUACAGUCUGUUGGAGGAGACAGAGCCCUAUUUGAGAAAACCCCUGGUCUGCUGGAGGAGGCCCUGGAUCUGGAAGGCAGUGCAUGCCCACAGCGCCCCCUGCUGGACGGCAUCAGAACCGGCUGAGUGCCAAGGCAUUUGUGCAGGCAGCCCCCGGGUUUCCUGCCAGGGAAAAGAGAUUCGGAAAUCAGGAAUGAAGGAGAGACAGGCCAGCUCCGGGGGAGAACCUGAGUCCCUGCUUUCCUGUGCACGUUUUUCAUGGUGUGAGAGACUAGGAGACCCUUACUGCCAUCCCAGCAGGAUGCGCACGCGCACACCCGCCCCACCCCCAGCUUUUGCAGGAUGCACAAUGCGAGAAGAGGACAAAGCAGCAAGUUGGAAGUUUCUUAGAAAGGUGGAGGUAGUGCCCAGCUCAUGGAAGUCAGUGAGGUGCUAAAGGGACCUUGGGUCCCCCAGCAGCUUGGAGCUGUGGUGGGGAUCAGAGAAAGGGCUUGUCUGUCUUAGUGAAGGCCAUUACCUGGCUGAAAAUCACCAAUGGAGGCUGCCCGCGAACAGUAUUUCAAUUGACCCUUUAAUCUCAGCUUGUUGGCUCCUGGAAUUUUUUCUAUUAGAGGCUGUUAGCAUGUUGUGGUGAUGCUUUUGGCCUGUUGGGAAUUCCUGUUUUAGUCCCUGUUUUCCCUGACUGCUGCAAAGGGAUGAAUGAUUUUGAGGAAACAAGGCAGGCUGCUAGAGGAUUUCCAGAUGAACCUUGUGUUUGGUUUUGGGGUCAGUCUGUGUA